UAGCAUAUCAAUAAGCGGAGGAAAAGAAACUAACAAGGAUUCCCCUAGUAACUGCGAGUGAAGCGGGAAAAGCUCAAAUUUAAAAUCUGGCGGUCUCUGGCCGUCCGAGUUGUAAUCUAGAGAAGUGAUGCCCGCGCUGGACCGUGUACAAGUCUCCUGGAAUGGAGCGUCAUAGAGGGUGAGAAUCCCGUCUCUGACACGGACUACCAGGGCUUUGUGGUAUGCUCUCAAAGAGUCGAGUUGUUUGGGAAUGCAGCUCUAAAUGGGUGGUAAAUUCCAUCUAAAGCUAAAUAUUGGCGAGAGACCGAUAGCGAACAAGUACCGUGAGGGAAAGAUGAAAAGAACUUUGGAAAGAGAGUUAAACAGUACGUGAAAUUGCUGAAAGGGAAACGCUUGAAGUCAGUCGCGUUGGCCGGGAAUCAGCCUCACUUUUGUGUGGUGUACUUUCUGGUUGACGGGUCAGCAUCAAUUUUGACCGCUGGAAAAAGGCUUGGGGAAUGUGGCAGCUUCGGCUGUGUUAUAGCCCUUUGUCACAUACAGCGAUUGGGAUUGAGGAACUCAGCACGCCGCAAGGCCGGGUUUCGACCACGUUCGUGCUUAGGAUGCUGGCAUAAUGGCUUUAAGCGACCCGUCUUGAAACACGGACCAAGGAGUCUAACAUGCCUGCGAGUGUUUGGGUGGUAAACCCGAGCGCGUAAUGAAAGUGAAAGUUGAGAUCCCUGUCGUGGGGAGCAUCGACGCCCGGACCUGAACUUUUGUGACGGAUCCGCGGUAGAGCAUGUAUGUUGGGACCCGAAAGAUGGUGAACUAUGCCUGAAUAGGGUGAAGCCAGAGGAAACUCUGGUGGAGGCUCGUAGCGAUUCUGACGUGCAAAUCGAUCGUCAAAUUUGGGUAUAGGGGCGAAAGACUAAUCGAACCAUCUAGUAGCUGGUUCCUGCGA
rnacentral:rRNA from 1 species